rnacentral:rRNA from 1 species
UACGUAGGGGGCAAGCGUUGUCCGGAAUCAUUGGGCGUAAAGCGCGUGUAGGCGGCUGGCUAAGUCCGCUCUGAAAGCCCGGGGCUCAACCCCGGGAGGCGGGUGGAUACUGGUCAGCUCGAGUCCGGGAGAGGAGUGUGGAAUUCCCUGUGUAGCGGUGAAAUGCGUAGAUAUCGGGAGGAACACCAGUGGCGAAGGCGACUACCUGGCCUGUUUCUUGACGCUGAGGCGCGAAAGCUAGGGGAGCAAACGGG